rnacentral:rRNA from 1 species
UACGGGGGGAGCAAGCGUUGUUCGGAUUUACUGGGCGUAAAGGGCGCGUAGGCGGUCAGCACAAGUCAGUUGUGAAAUCUCCGGGCUUAACUCGGAAAGGUCAACUGAUACUGUGCGACUAGAGUGCAGAAGGGGCAACUGGAAUUCUCGGUGUAGCGGUGAAAUGCGUAGAUAUCGUAAGGAAGACCAGUGGCGAAGGCGGGUCUCUGGACAGUUCCUGACGCUGAGGCACGAAGGCCAGGGGAGCAAACGGG